CAACCCUCAAGCCCCCGGGCUUGGUGCUGGGGAUCGGCCGUUACGGGCCGGCCCCGAAAUCUAGUGGCGGUCUCGCUGUAGCCUCCUCUGCGUAGUAGCAACACCUCGCACUGGAACGCGGCGCGGCCAUGCCGUUAAACCCCAACUUCUAAA
rnacentral:misc_RNA from 1 species